rnacentral:rRNA from 1 species
GUCGAACGGUGAAGGGGAGCUUGCUCUCUGGAUCAGUGGCGAACGGGUGAGUAACACGUGAGCAAUCUGCCCCUGACUCUGGGAUAACAGUUGGAAACAGCUGCUAAUACUGGAUACGAGACGUGAAGGCAUCUUCAACGUCUGGAAAGAAUUUCGGUCAGGGAUGAGCUCGCGGCCUAUCAGCUUGUUGGUGAGGUAACGGCUCACCAAGGCGUCGACGGGUAGCCGGCCUGAGAGGGUGACCGGCCACACUGGGACUGAGACACGGCCCAGACUCCUACGGGAGGCAGCAGUGGGGAAUAUUGCACAAUGGGCGAAAGCCUGAUGCAGCAACGCCGCGUGAGGGACGACGGCCUUCGGGUUGUAAACCUCUUUUAGCAGGGAAGAAGCGAAAGUGACGGUACCUGCAGAAAAAGCACCGGCUAACUACGUGCCAGCAGCCGCGGUAAUACGUAGGGUGCAAGCGUUAUCCGGAAUUAUUGGGCGUAAAGAGCUCGUAGGCGGUUUGUCGCGUCUGCUGUGAAAACCCGAGGCUCAACCUCGGGCCUGCAGUGGGUACGGGCAGACUAGAGUGCGGUAGGGGAGAUUGGAAUUCCUGGUGUAGCGGUGGAAUGCGCAGAUAUCAGGAGGAACACCGAUGGCGAAGGCAGAUCUCUGGGCCGUAACUGACGCUGAGGAGCGAAAGGGUGGGGAGCAAACAGGCUUAGAUACCCUGGUAGUCCACCCCGUAAACGUUGGGAACUAGUUGUGGGGUCCAUUCCACGGAUUCCGUGACGCAGCUAACGCAUUAAGUUCCCCGCCUGGGGAGUACGGCCGCAAGGCUAAAACUCAAAGGAAUUGACGGGGACCCGCACAAGCGGCGGAGCAUGCGGAUUAAUUCGAUGCAACGCGAAGAACCUUACCAAGGCUUGACAUAUACGAGAACGCUGCAGAAAUGUAGAACUCUUUGGACACUCGUAAACAGGUGGUGCAUGGUUGUCGUCAGCUCGUGUCGUGAGAUGUUGGGUUAAGUCCCGCAACGAGCGCAACCCUCGUUCUAUGUUGCCAGCACGUAAUGGUGGGAACUCAUGGGAUACUGCCGGGGUCAACUCGGAGGAAGGUGGGGAUGACGUCAAAUCAUCAUGCCCCUUAUGUCUUGGGCUUCACGCAUGCUACAAUGGCCGGUACAAAGGGCUGCAAUACCGUAAGGUGGAGCGAAUCCCAAAAAGCCGGUCCCAGUUCGGAUUGAGGUCUGCAACUCGACCUCAUGAAGUCGGAGUCGCUAGUAAUCGCAGAUCAGCAACGCUGCGGUGAAUACGUUCCCGGGUCUUGUACACACCGCCCGUCAAGUCAUGAAAGUCGGUAACACCUGAAGCCGGUGGCCCAACCCU